rnacentral:tRNA from 1 species
AGUAAGAAACAAAAAAUUUGUAUUUAAUUUCGACCUAAACCUUGAUGAUACCACCAUCCUUACUU